rnacentral:rRNA from 1 species
UAUAAAUACUUAAGUAGUAAUAGUUAUGUUCUUGAAACUUAAAAAAUUUGGCGGUAUUUUAGUCUAUCCAGAGGAACCUGUUUUAUAAUCGAUAAUCCACGAUGGACCUUACUUAAAUUUGUAAUCAGUUUAUAUACCGUCGUUAUCAGAAUAUUUUAUAAGAAUAACAAUAUUCAAUAAUUUUAAUUAAAAUUUAUAUCAGAUCAAGGUGUAGCUUAUAUUUAAGUAAUAAUGGGUUACAAUAAAUUUAUUUAUACGGAUAAAAUUAUGAAAAAAUUUUUAAAGGUGGAUUUGGUAGUAAAGUUAUAUAGAUAAAUAAUUUGAUUUUAGCUCUAAAAUAUGUACACAUCGCCCGUCACUCUUAUUAUUAAGGUAAGAUAAGUCGUAACAUAGUAGAUGUACUGGAAAGUGUAUCUAGAAUGA